UACGGGAGGCAGCAGUGGGGGAUAUUGCACAAUGGGCGAAAGCCUGAUGCAGCAACGCCGCGUGAAGGAAGAAGGCUUUCGGGUUGUAAACUUCUUUUGCCGGGGACGAAACAAAUGACGGUACCCGGCGAAUAAGCCACGGCUAACUACGUGCCAGCAGCCGCGGUAAU
rnacentral:rRNA from 1 species